GAUGAACGCUGGCGGCGUGCCUAAUACAUGCAAGUCGAGCGAACAGACGAGGAGCUUGCUCCUCUGACGUUAGCGGCGGACGGGUGAGUAACACGUGGAUAACCUACCUAUAUGACUGGUAUAACUUCGGGAAACCGGAGCUAAUACCGUAUAAUAUAUUGAACCGCAUGGUUCAAUAGUGAAAGACGGUUUUGCUGUCACUUAUAGCUGGAUCGGCGCCGCAUUAGCUAGUUGGUACGUUAACGGCCUACCAAGGCAACGAUGCGUAGCCGACCUGAGAGGGUGAUCGGCGACACGGGAGCUGGGACACGGACCAGACUCCUACGGGAGGCAGCAGUAGGGAAUCUUCCGCAAUGGGCGAAAGCUUGACGGAGCAACGCCGCGUGAGUGAUGAAGGUCUUCGGAUCGUAAAACUCUGUUAUGAGGGAAGAACAAAUGUGUAAGUAACUAUGCACGUAUUGACGGUACCUAAUCAGAAAGCCACGGCUAACUACGUG
rnacentral:rRNA from 1 species